rnacentral:rRNA from 1 species
UACAGAGGUCUCAAGCGUUGUUCGGAUUCAUUGGGCGUAAAGGGUGCGUAGGCGGCGCGGUAAGUCGGGUGUGAAAUCUCGGAGCUUAACUCCGAAACUGCAUUCGAUACUGCCGUGCUUGAGGACUGGAGAGGAGACUGGAAUUUACGGUGUAGCGGUGAAAUGCGUAGAUAUCGUAAGGAAGACCAGUGGCGAAGGCGGGUCUCUGGACAGUUCCUGACGCUGAGGCACGGAAGGUCAGGGGAGCAAACGGG